rnacentral:rRNA from 1 species
GUGGGGAAUAUUGGGCAAUGGGGGCAACCCUGACCCAGCGACGCCGCGUGAGGGAAGAAGGCCUUAGGGUCGUAAACCUCUGUUGUGUGGGAAGAAGGAAGUGACGGUACCACACGAGGAAGUCCCGGCUAACUACGUGCCAGCAGCCGCGGUAAUACGUAGGGGACGAGCGUUGUCCGGAAUUACUGGGCGUAAAGGGCGCGUAGGCGGUCAUUUAAGUCAGCUGUGAAAUGGUCCGGCUCAACCGGAUCAUGCGGUUGAAACUGGAUGACUGGAGUGCUGGGGAAGCAAGUGGAAUUCCCAGUGUAGCGGUGAAAUGCGUAGAUAUUGGGAAGAACACCGGUGGCGAAGGCGACUUGCUGGCCAGCAACUGACGCUGAGGCGCGAAAGCCAGGGGAGCAAACGGGAUUAGAUACCCGAGUAGUC